CUUUACUUCUGACAGAGAAAACAUGCAGUGACUUUUAUGUUUAAUACAUUCAUUCUGAAGUUGUUAGGUCAGAAGAGCA